rnacentral:snoRNA from 1 species
CUGCACAGCGAACACCCAAGAGUGCUUCCUAAUACCCUUGGCUUUGACUCUGUGCUAGAGCAAUGUCUGAUCUUUUUCUCUCGUUGAAAGGAAUAUUUAUCCUUUUAAAUGUAUGCAGAAAGCCAGCACAUUA